rnacentral:rRNA from 1 species
GACGAACGCUGCCGGCGUGCCUAAUACAUGCACGUAGCACGCAGAUGCGGACGGGCGAGUAACGCGUAGGUAACUGCCUCAUAGCGGGGGCUAACUAUUGAAAACGAUAGCUAAUACCGCAUACUGUGAGAUGGACCUGCGUGGUAUUAGAUAGUGGGUGAGGUAAAGGCUCACCAAGGCGACGAUACAUAGCCGACCUGAGAGGGGGAUGGGCUACACUGGGACGGGGACACGGCCCAGACGCCUACGGGAGGCAGCAGGAAGGAAUCUUCGGCAAUGGACGGAAGUCUGACCGAGCAACGCCGCGUGAGUGAAGUAGGUUUUCGGAUCGUAAGGCUCUGUUGUUAGAGAAGCGGGAACUAACCAGAAAGGGACGGCUAACUACGUGUCAGCAGCCGCGGUAAUAC